UUUACUUAUUAUACAUAUCAAUCAUUAUUGGCCUUAGUUCGUCUAUUGCAGAUGAUUUAGACAGUAUCAGACAGAUACUGUGUCGCCUAGGACACUCUUCAGGAAAACGCAGAAUUGCCUAAGCUCUGCGCCACCCUC